ACUGCACAAUGAGGAUUAUGACAGUGACAACAAGGAUGACAAUGAUGAAGCUGACUGUUGAUGAUGAUAACUUAAUUUAAGAAAUUGUUUUUGGGCCAAAAUAUAGCUGAACACCUGAUAAACUGACACCAGAUACUGACUCUCUUAAACAUAUGUACAUUAUGGAGUAAAACACAACAUUCAGAAGGAUUUUACUGGUCAAGAGGUUUUAAACUUUCAGAAAUAUGAUUUGCUAGGGGAAUAUUCAAGUGAUGCUGUAAUCAAAGAAAUACAACCCAAGCCAAGCAUAGUUUCAUGAAGUUACAGGUUCUGUGUUUGUUUUCUCGUGAUGUACCACAGUGGAACUGUCAAGAAUCACCCCCAAAUGCUUGUCCAGAAACUUCUUACACUCAACACAGCUGUUUUCGUGCCUUUUUAAAAUUUGUUUAAAAAAUUCUGCAUCAUCAGCCUUUGUUACUCUUGUUCAUUUCUUUCUUUAAGCACUUAAAGGUCCAAGACAGUCCUUAUGAAAAAUUGCUCCUAGAAACUAAAGAUUCCUACUGG
rnacentral:lncRNA from 1 species